rnacentral:piRNA from 1 species
GAGCCCUGCAGGACGGAGAACCACACUG